GAUGAACGCUAGCGACAGGCCUAACACAUGCAAGUCGAGGGGCAUCGGGGCGUAGCAAUACGCUGCCGGCGACCGGCGGAUGGGUGAGUAACGCGUAUGCAACCUACCUUCAGCAGGGGGAUAGCCCGUCGAAAGACGGAUUAAUACCCCAUAACACAGGGGCUCCGCAUGGAGAUUAUUGUUAAAGGGAUGCUUCCUUCGGGGAGUAUUCCGGCUGCAGAUGGGCAUGCGUUCCAUUAGGUAGUUGGUUGAGGUAACGGCUCACCAAGCCUACGAUGGAUAGGGGAACUGAGAGGUUGGUCCCCCACACUGGUACUGAGACACGGACCAGACUCCUACGGGAGGCAGCAGUGAGGAAUCUUGGUCAAUGGACGGAAGUCUGAACCAGCCAUGUCGCGUGAAGGAGGACGGCCCUAAGGGUUGUAAACUUCUUUUGCGAGGGGAAUAAAGUAUUCCACGAGAUGGGAUAUUGCAAGUACGCUGCGAAUAAGGAUCGGCUAACUCCGUCG
rnacentral:rRNA from 1 species